UAAGACUUUGAACAGCGUCCAAUUCUUUCUUGGAGGAAAUACAACUUGCGGACACUAGAGGUCGCCACUGUAUCAUAAAACACAUGGCCUGUCAGGGGACACCCUUAACAUCGUCUUCCAAUACAACAAUGACGGUGUCUUAUUCUGAGAAGCGGGAAGGGAGUGGGCUGUGGAGAAAAACUACAGUCUGAAGAGACUGAUUUUUAUCUUUGUUCAAGCAUCCAAACCUUCUCACAGCCUGAAGCCCUGGAAACACAACAAAACAAAAUUCAACAAAGACAGAAUAUGUGGUGGCUGUUACACAAACUGCUGAGAAAUGAUUGUCCCUCUGGAUUUCAUGUUGGUAGUCCAGGAUUAAACUUGAGGAAGUACCUGCGCCCCUUUGUCUGGAUGUGCAGAAGCAGCACAGGCUCGGUGAGGACAGCCACCUGCUUGUUCCUUUUUGGCUGUGUCAAGAUGAAACUGAG